AUCCCUACAAAAUGGGAACCACUAUUACAAUUCCAAAUAAAACGUUAACCAAUUAAUUAAAAAGUACCAUCGACUUAAGAAAAAAAAAAAGACUAUGAGAAGUUGUACAGUAUAUUUAUGGCUUUAACCUCAACAAACGCUGCUCCCUUCUCUCAAAUUCCUCAUCUUCAUCUUUUUUUCUUUCAGUUUCUUAAACUUUCUUUAUCAAUCUAAAAUAUGUCUAACUGUUUCUUCUUCUGAAGAAUUUCAAAGGAAACUGGAUUUUUCUAAUCAGUGGGAUCUGAUUGAAAAUUUUCAGAGAGUGGAGAGCAUCUAGAAAUGUAGAAGGAGAUGACGUUGAUCCAAAAAUGAAAGAAGCAUAGAAGUAACGAAGAACUGAAGAAAAAAAAGAAGAACUGAAGAAUCUCAAUAUUUUUAACUUUCAUGGCAAAUUUUGUUUAACCAUUUCAAUUAUUUUCUCUUUUAAAUUCAUCUUCGUAUUUCUUUUUACGCAUGUAACUUUUUCUUGUUAAUUAUAUUUUUAAUAGAAAAAUAAAAAUGUUAAUAAAAUAUGUUCUUCAAUU